AGACCCGAAACCCGGUGAUCUAGCCAUGGGCAGGUUGAAGGUUGGGUAACACUAACUGGAGGACCGAACCGACUAAUGUUGAAAAAUUAGCGGAUGACCUGUGGCUGGGGGUGAAAGGCCAAUCAAACCGGGAGAUAGCUGGUUCUCCCCGAAAGCUAUUUAGGUAGCGCCUCGUGAAUUCAUCUCCGGGGGUAGAGCACUGUUUCGGCUAGGGGGCCAUCCCGGCUUACCAACCCGAUGCAAACUGCGAAUACCGGAGAAUGUUAUCACGGGAGACACACGGCGGGUGCUAACGUCCGUCGUGAAGAGGGAAACAACCCAGACCGCCAGCUAAGGUCCCAAAGUCAUGGUUAAGUGGGAAACGAUGUGGGAAGGCCCAGACAGCCAGGAUGUUGGCUUAGAAGCAGCCAUCAUUUAAAGAAAGCGUAAUAGCUCACUGGUCGAGUCGGCCUGCGCGGAAGAUGUAACGGGGCUAAACCAUGCACCGAAGCUGCGGCAGCGACGCUUAUGCGUUGUUGGGUAGGGGAGCGUUCUGUAAGCCUGUGAAGGUGGCCUGUGAGGGUUGCUGGAGGUAUCAGAAGUGCGAAUGCUGACAUAAGUAACGAUAAAGCGGGUGAAAAGCCCGCUCGCCGGAAGACCAAGGGUUCCUGUCCAACGUUAAUCGGGGCAGGGUGAGUCGACCCCUAAGGCGAGGCCGAAAGGCGUAGUCGAUGGGAAACGGGUUAAUAUUCCCGUACUUGGUGUUACUGCGAAGGGGGGACGGAGAAGGCUAUGUUGGCCGGGCGACGGUUGUCCCGGUUUAAGCGUGUAGGUGUGUGUUCCAGGUAAAUCCGGUUCACUUUAACACUGAGGCGUGAUGACGAGGCACUACGGUGCUGAAGCAACAAAUGCCCUGCUUCCAGGAAAAGCCUCUAAGCAUCAGGUAACAUCAAAUCGUACCCCAAACCGACACAGGUGGUCAGGUAGAGAAUACCAAGGCGCUUGAGAGAACUCGGGUGAAGGAACUAGGCAAAAUGGUGCCGUAACUUCGGGAGAAGGCACGCUGACAUGUAGGUGAAGUGAUUUACUCAUGGAGCUGAAGUCAGUCGAAGAUACCAGCUGGCUGCAACUGUUUAUUAAAAACACAGCACUGUGCAAACACGAAAGUGGACGUAUACGGUGUGACGCCUGCCCGGUGCCGGAAGGUUAAUUGAUGGGGUCAGCGCAAGCGAAGCUCCUGAUCGAAGCCCCGGUAAACGGCGGCCGUAACUAUAACGGUCCUAAGGUAGCGAAAUUCCUUGUCGGGUAAGUUCCGACCUGCACGAAUGGCGUAAUGAUGGCCAGGCUGUCUCCACCCGAGACUCAGUGAAAUUGAACUCGCUGUGAAGAUGCAGUGUACCCGCGGCAAGACGGAAAGACCCCGUGAACCUUUACUAUAGCUUGACACUGAACAUUGAGCCUUGAUGUGUAGGAUAGGUGGGAGGCUUUGAAGUGUGGACGCCAGUCUGCAUGGAGCCGACCUUGAAAUACCACCCUUUAAUGUUUGAUGUUCUAACGUGGACCCGUGAUCCGGGUUGCGGACAGUGUCUGGUGGGUAGUUUGACUGGGGCGGUCUCCUCCUAAAGAGUAACGGAGGAGCACGAAGGUUGGCUAAUCCUGGUCGGACAUCAGGAGGUUAGUGCAAUGGCAUAAGCCAGCUUGACUGCGAGCGUGACGGCGCGAGCAGGUGCGAAAGCAGGUCAUAGUGAUCCGGUGGUUCUGAAUGGAAGGGCCAUCGCUCAACGGAUAAAAGGUACUCCGGGGAUAACAGGCUGAUACCGCCCAAGAGUUCAUAUCGACGGCGGUGUUUGGCACCUCGAUGUCGGCUCAUCACAUCCUGGGGCUGAAGUAGGUCCCAAGGGUAUGGCUGUUCGCCAUUUAAAGUGGUACGCGAGCUGGGUUUAGAACGUCGUGAGACAGUUCGGUCCCUAUCUGCCGUGGGCGCUGGAGAACUGAGGGGGGCUGCUCCUAGUACGAGAGGACCGGAGUGGACGCAUCACUGGUGUUCGGGUUGUCAUGCCAAUGGCACUGCCCGGUAGCUAAAUGCGGAAGAGAUAAGUGCUGAAAGCAUCUAAGCACGAAACUUGCCCCGAGAUGAGUUCUCCCUGAGACUUAG
rnacentral:rRNA from 1 species